rnacentral:rRNA from 1 species
GACGAACGCUGGCGGCGUGCCUAAUACAUGCAAGUUGAGCGCUGAAGGUUGGUACUUGUACCAACUGGAUGAGCAGCGAACGGGUGAGUAACGCGUGGGGAAUCUGCCUUUGAGCGGGGGACAACAUUUGGAAACGAAUGCUAAUACCGCAUAAAAACUUUAAACACAAGUUUUAAGUUUGAAAGAUGCAAUUGCAUCACUCAAAGAUGAUCCCGCGUUGUAUUAGCUAGUUGGUGAGGUAAAGGCUCACCAAGGCGAUGAUACAUAGCCGACCUGAGAGGGUGAUCGGCCACAUUGGGACUGAGACACGGCCCAAACGCCUACGGGAGGCAGCAGUAGGGAAUCUUCGGCAAUGGACGAAAGUCUGACCGAGCAACGCCGCGUGAGGGAAGAAGGUUGUCGGAUCGUAAAACUCUGUUGGUAGAGAAGAACGUUGGUGAGAGUGGAAAGCUCAUCAAGUGACGGUAACUACCCAGAAAGGGACGGCUAACUACGUG